UAACGUUCUCAUUUCAAGCACUUAACUUGGGAGGAUAAAGGCGGGUGUUUUGGCCCCGAUUUUUGCUCUUUAGUGUUUAAAGAGGGGUUCUUUUGGAUUCUCUUGUCAAGUCCUAAAGAAGGAUCAUAGUUUGUCACCAGAAGAAUUUCUGAUAGAAAAUAAAAAAAAUGUUAUUUUCGGUCUUUUCGACCCCACAGCUGCAGCCAUUGUUUCUACUACGACAACAGCAGCAGCAACAGCAGCUUCUUCUGUUCACAAAGGAUGCAACUCCCGCUACUUACGAUACCAAGUGGGAGGAUCUCCAUCCUCAUUCUCAGCAGAUUCUUCUUCAGAUUGAACAUUAGAGUAUAGGGAUGAGAGCCAGAGAUUAGAUCAAAGCAGUCGUCUCUAUAAAUAUUUAGUUCCAAAUGAUGACUUUAAGUCUGAUGCCAGCCAUAUUGUUCAGGUUCUCCAUUUGCCCUCAUGUUUCUUUGAUAGUCUUUCUAAAACCACAUGAUGUAUUCGUCCCCAUGGUGGUCAAUUAUCUGUUUCAUUAUUGUUAUAACAUAGACAAAUGCUUUUUAUGCUUUAAGUUGGUUAUGAUUCUGUCGGUUAUUAAAGUUGUGGAGGGUUUUAUAAUAGGUAACCUCUGCCUAUACAAUGGGACAUCAAAAUUCGGAAGUAUCUUCUCGGCUAAAACAUGUCUAUCUGGAGCCUCAAUGCUAAUUUAUUUGCAUUUGAAUUUGUUUUAAUCUAUGAGAUGCUAAAGAGUUCUGCUGACAGUUUAUAUGAUCUUUAGAUGUGACGGGGGUUUAGCAUGUAACGAACCAAGGGUCACAUCAUCGCUUGGGAUUAAUUAACCCGACAGCACCUUAUGUUGGCUGUUUUCGUUAUUGCUGGUCAACUGAAAAUAUGGCCAUUUUUAGCUGAAGUCAAAAUAUAAUUUCAAUUUUCCGUGUGGUUGUUUUUGCUUAUUUGAAACUUGAAAGAAUUGUAGUUGAAAAUUUAGUUGACAAUAAAAGACUUAAUUUUUAUCACAAAAAAAUAGAAGACUUGAUUUUAUGUGGUGAGACAGAUCUCUGUUAAUCUGUAAAAGGAAGUUCGUAGUCCAUUUAUGUUUUAUUUCUCCUCUUGAUGUGACAACUUUUUCUUUCAUUUCUUCAUUUCUGUUCUAUUUUCGUGACUUGCUAUGCUAUUUGUUUGUAUGUUUAUUAGAAAAAAUAAGAAAAGUUAAUAAUUAAUUUUGACUGGAUUAGUUCCUCUGUCUCUUGUGAUUUUGUUCUUCAUCUGGUGAACUUCAAUAGUUAUGUAUAGAUUGUACAAUAGCUAUCUUCUUCUGUUUGAUAGGUACUCGGUAGCAUCAGUGCUGCCAUGGAAUGACCAAGAAACUUGCAGCAGGAACUGACGUCUGCUGUAAAAAAUAUAUUACGCAACACAGAGAUGACGGUUCGUUCUUCAAGGUUCCUUCAUCCCAAUAAGGUGAAUGCCUUGAGCACCACUGCUCCGUCACAGACUGCUGUAGUGACUAUUACGCCUACAUUGAGUAGUCGACCACCAGCUACAUUAAUGCCUGUGCCUGAUUUUUACCAUGGGCUUCCGAACAAACCAUCAUCCUUCUUAUGUCAAACAUUUUCAAGAUUUGAGAAAUAUUUUGGUGAAUGCUACCAUCGGCUUGAAGAGUUGGAGCUGCUUCUUGACAACUUCCGAGAAAAACACUUCCAAUAAUGGAUCCUUCUCAUUGCAGUCUAUUCCUAAAGCCAUGGCAAAUGUGCAUGACAUUUUUAUUCAUGUGGCUGCGAAGGCACAUAUGAGCAUUUUGCAGUUUCAGUUGACGUUCCCGGUAAAGCUUUGAGCAUAUUGCGUCAUUACGAAGUUAUAUAUAUGUCUAUAUAAUAUAUCUUUUCUUAAGAAAUGUUCAAAGUAUAUGGACAUUUUUCAUGCUGCUACUCUCAAUACUCUUAGCUCUGUAAAUUGUAUUUAUUCCACCCCUCUAUUUUUGGUUUUCUUUUAUCCUUUUGUACUCAUCAUGUUUGCUGGGGUUGCAAACUAUGAGCUCAGUUUGUUUAAGAGAAUCUGUUACUUGUUCAUAUCCAUACUUCUGAACAUUUCUCCUUUAUAUUUUAACUUAUAUUAAUAAUUUAAAUAGUCACA